UUCACCUUCUCCUCUACUUCUCUAUCUUCGACUCCUUCGUUACUUUCCAAUCCCUUAUUCUCUUGCUUCUCCUCUUCUCUAAAUCUCUAAUUUCGAAAACAAACAUCAAGAGCGCACCGACCUUGACGUUUUUAGGAGCUCUCCGAUGACGAUUUUGAAGAGCUUGUGAUUCUCUGUAGGUUGUAGUGGUAGAAAAUUCGCACCUCUCCUACGGCAGCGAGUUCUCGCAAGCAGGUGGCGCAGUAGGAGGCUGAGCGGUCCAAAUUCGUUGUGAUGAAGGCCGAGCAAGAGCGACGGGCCGCGAUUAUCCGCGAUCCGGCAAAGCUAAUCACUGACUACUUUGACUAGAUUUUACAAAUAUUCUUACUUUAUAUUUUUCCCUGUUGCAGAAUAAAUUUAGAUGUUCCCGAAAGAUAUCAGUGAGUUCACCUUGCUCAGUUCUCUGUCAUUCUUGACAUGAUGAGAUUGCAACUUGCUAGCUACAUUUUAUAUUUAUGAAUUAUGCGUCAACAAAGCAGUGCUGCUGAAAGUCUCAAUCCUUCAAAGCUUAGGAGGAAUGCUUAUGCUGCAUCUGAUAUAAGUAGAAUUGCUUCUCAGGUGGUCGAACACUUCCAGCUAACGAAGCACGUUUUUGGGGCAUCAAAGGUAGCAGCCACAGCCAGUACUGGGAAACUGGACUUGUUAAGGAACUUGGGAGCAAACUUAGCCAUUGAUUAUACAAAGGGGCUGCUUGAAGAUCUAGAAGAAAAAUUUGAUGUAGUGUACGAUACAGUAGGCAGAGUGAGAUUGAUAGAACAUUGAAGGCUGUUAAAGAAAAUGGGAAAGUUGUGAUAGUAGCAGCACAUGGAAGUUCUUCAGAUAUCUUCGUAAUGCUCAUACAGUGUAUAUUCCCUGCCCAUCAUUGACAUAAUUCGGGGUUUUGGAUUGAAUAUAUUGAAAGCCAUGAUGGAAAGAAAGAAGAACAAACUAUGAGCAAGCUUUGUUGUUGAGAAUCCCUAAGUUGGCUUGAGCGGUGGAGAAGUCGAGGACAAGUUGGAGAAGUUCAUUGCAGAGGGUCAUUGCAACAACAUGAUCGUUGGGUCUACUGUGAACUUUAUGCAUCAAAAUCAACAUUGUUCUUGAACAUCUUUCUAUUUUAAUUUAGUAUUGAACAUUUUUGUUUUUUUUAAUUUUCAUGAACA